rnacentral:rRNA from 1 species
GACGGAGGGGGCUAGCGUUGUUCGGAAUUACUGGGCGUAAAGCGCACGUAGGCGGCCUUUCGAGUCAGGCGUGAAAGCCCCGGGCUUAACCCGGGAAUUGCGUUUGAUACUGUUGGGCUUGAGACCGGGAGAGGAUAGCGGAAUUCCCAGUGUAGAGGUGAAAUUCGUAGAUAUUGGGAAGAACACCAGUGGCGAAGGCGGCUAUCUGGACCGGUACUGACGCUGAGGUGCGAAAGCGUGGGGAGCGAACAGG